rnacentral:misc_RNA from 1 species
GGAGGAUAGACUGAAGUUCUGGUUCCAGAAGUCGAGAGUUCGGAAACCAAGAGUGAGCGGAAGUUUUACUUGUUGACAGCUAGCCAUUCAUUAAUAUCUUCCCCAGGAGGAAGCCUUACAGCCUCUCUCAAGUUUCCGCUGCCUAAAGUAGAAUCAAUGUGCUGUCUUAAUUGUGCACCCUUACUCCCUGAGGGUGCACUCUUU